rnacentral:rRNA from 1 species
AUUGAACGCUGGCGGCAGGCCUAACACAUGCAAGUCGAGCGGAUGAAGGGAGCUUGCUCCUGGAUUCAGCGGCGGACGGGUGAGUAAUGCCUAGGAAUCUGCCUGGUAGUGGGGGAUAACGUCCGGAAACGGGCGCUAAUACCGCAUACGUCCUGAGGGAGAAAGUGGGGGAUCUUCGGACCUCACGCUAUCAGAUGAGCCUAGGUCGGAUUAGCUAGUUGGUGGGGUAAAGGCCUACCAAGGCGACGAUCCGUAACUGGUCUGAGAGGAUGAUCAGUCACGCUGGAACUGAGACACGGUCCAGACUCCUACGGGAGGCAGCAGUGGGGAAUAUUGGGCAAUGGGCGAAAGCCUGAUCCAGCCAUGCCGCGUGUGUGAAGAAGGUCUUCGGAUUGUAAAGCACUUUAGGUUGGGAGGAAGGGCAGUAAGUUAAUACCUUGCUGUUUUGACGUUACCAACAGAAUAAGCACCGGCUAACUUCGUG